rnacentral:rRNA from 1 species
UAGGGAAUCUUCGGCAAUGGACGAAAGUCUGACCGAGCAACGCCGCGUGAGUGAAGAAGGUUUUCGAAUCGUAAAACUCUGUUGGUAGAGAGGAACGUUGGUGAGAGUGGAAAGCUCAUCAAGUGACGGUAACUACCCAGAAAGGGACGGCUAACUACGUGCCAC